rnacentral:rRNA from 1 species
CCCUACGGGACGCAGCAGUGAGGAAUAUUGGUCAAUGAGCUUACGCCUGAACCAGCCAAGUCGCGUGAGGGAAGACUGCCCUAUGGGUUGUAAACCUCUUUUGUCAGGGAGCAACGCAGGCUACGUGUAGCCGGACUGAGAGUACCUGAAGAAAAAGCAUCGGCUAACUCCGUGCCAGCAGCCGCGGUAAUACGGAGGAUGCGAGCGUUAUCCGGAUUUAUUGGGUUUAAAGGGUGCGUAGGCGGAAUGCCAAGUCAGCGGAAAAAUCGCGGGGCUCAACCUCGCUCCGCCGUUGAAACUGGCGU